rnacentral:rRNA from 1 species
AUUGAACGCUGGCGGCAUGCUUUACACAUGCAAGUCGAACGGUAACAGGCCUUCGGGUGCUGACGAGUGGCGAACGGGUGAGUAAUGCAUCGGAACGUACCCAGAGGUGGGGGAUAACGCAGCGAAAGCUGUGCUAAUACCGCAUGUGAUCUGAGGAUGAAAGCGGGGGACCGAGCAGCAAUGUUUGGCCUCGCGCCUUUGGAGCGGCCGAUGUCGGAUUAGCUAGUUGGUGGGGUAAAGGCCUACCAAGGCGACGAUCCGUAGCUGGUCUGAGAGGACGACCAGCCACACUGGGACUGAGACACGGCCCAGACGCCUACGGGAGGCAGCAGUGGGGAAUUUUGGACAAUGGGGGGAAACCUGAUCCAGCAAUGCCGCGUGCGGGAAGAAGGCCUUCGGGUUGUAAACCGCUUUUGGCAGGAACGAAACGGUGUCCGCUAAUACCGGGCGCUAAUGACGGUACCUGCAGAAUAAGCACCGGCUAACUACGUG